ACAAUUGGAAACAGUUGCUAAGACUGGAUAGGAAAAGUAAAGGCAUCUUUACUUUUUUAAAAGACCUUCUUUGGAGGUAUGCUUAAGGAGGGGCUUGCGACACAUUAGUUAGUUGGCAGGGUAAAGGCCUACCAAGACUAUGAUGUGUAGCUGGACUGAGAGGUUGAACAGCCACAUUGGGACUGAGACACGGCCCAAACUCCUACGGGAGGCAGCAGUAGGGAAUUUUCGGCAAUGGAGGAAACUCUGACCGAGCAACGCCGCGUGAACGAUGAAGUACCUCGGUAUGUAAAGUUCUUUUAUUAAGGAAGAAAAAAGAGUGGAAAAACUCCCUUGACGGUACUUAAUGAAUAAGCCCCGGCUAAUUAUGUGCCAGCAGCCGCGGUAAUACAUAAGGGGCGAGCGUUAUCCGGAAUUAUUGGGCGUAAAGGGUGCGUAGGCGGUUUAAUAAGUCUAUAGUUUAAUUUCAGUGCUUAACGCUGUUGUGCUAUAGAAACUGUUUUACUAGAGUGAGAUAGAGGCAAGCGGAAUUCCAUGUGUAGCGGUAAAAUGCGUAAAUAUAUGGAGGAACACCAGAGGCGUAGGCGGCUUGCUGGGUCUUUACUGACGCUGAGGCACGAAAGCGUGGGGAGCAAACAGGAUUAGAUACCCUGGUAGUCCACGCCGUAAACGAUGAGUACUAAGUGUCGGGUAAAACCGGUACUGAAGUUAACACAUUAAGUACUCCGCCUGAGUAGUACGUACGCAAGUAUGAAACUUAAAGGAAUUGACGGGACUCCGCACAAGCGGUGGAUCAUGUUGUUUAAUUCGAAGAUACACGAAAAACCUUACCAGGUCUUGACAUUUUCUUGCGAAGUUAUAGAAAUAUAAUGGAGGUUAUCAGGAAAACAGGUGGUGCAUGGUUGUCGUCAGCUCGUGUCGUGAGAUGUUAGGUUAAGUCCUAAAACGAGCGCAACCCUUGUCGUUAAUUGCCAGCAUGUAAUGAUGGGGACUUUAACGAGACUGCCAAUGAAAAAUUGGAGGAAGGUGGGGAUUACGUCAAAUCAUCAUGCCCCUUAUGAUCUGGGCUACAAACGUGAUACAAUGGUUGAUACAAAGAGUAGCUGAAACGCGAGUUCUUAGCCAAUCUCACAAAAUCAAUCUCAGUUCGGAUUGAAGUCUGCAACUCGACUUCAUGAAGUUGGAAUCGCUAGUAAUCGCGAAUCAGCAUGUCGCGGUGAAUACGUUCUCGGGGUUUGUACACACCGCCCGUCAAACCACGAAAGUUGGCAAUACCCCAAAGCGGUCGCCUAACUUCGUAAGAAGAAGGAUCCGUCUAAGGUAGGGUCGAUAAUUGGGGUUAAGUCGUAACAAGGUAUCCCUACCGGAAGGUGGGGAUGGAUCACCUCCUUUCU
rnacentral:rRNA from 1 species